AGAAUCUGUCAACGAUUGUGACUCCUCCCUACUCUGUGACGGCCUACCUGGGAGCAUUCCUGGAGGCCUAGUGAGGCGUCCGAAUAGGAGAGAGUCCCUGAUGCUUAAAGGAUGGAGGAGCGAGGAGGUCCAGCUUGACACAAGCAUGGCCUUGGAACUGUUUGCUGAAGAUGCUUGAACCGCCGGAUUGAAGGGGGCCGGGUCCCUGAAUCAAUACAUGGAGGAGAGCCUCUGUAAAAGCUCUGCGUGCACCACCGACAGCCCCAGAAGAGUGCAUUGGUUGGACAAUCUUCAUUGGACUGGGCUAUUUUUGGUUUCGAACUCAUUGAAAUCUGUGACCAAUAGCACACUGCCGUUCUGCUGAACAAAUACGGGGAGAAAGUCACCGUGAAGCUGAGCAACUGGCCAGUCGCUGUGGAACAUUGUUAAUGUCAGCAGAAGCAAGGAGAGCAUUACAACCUGUUACUGAGCAGAGGGCAUGAAGGAGGCGGGACAAUCACAUGGAAUGUGGUAUCCUGAAUGGGACCCUGGAACCGAAGAACAGCCGAAUUCAAGUAAAAUGUGGAGUCUAGUUGGUAGCAAUGUACCGGAGUUGGUUUCUGAGUUAUAACAAUGUACCGUAAUAAUGUAAGAUGCUGUCAAUAGAGCAAAGGGGAUGAGGAGUAUAGGGAAAUUCUCUACUAACUUUGCCAAGUUUCUAGAAAUCUAAA
rnacentral:lncRNA from 13 species